rnacentral:lncRNA from 1 species
GUUUCCUUCUGUUGAGAGUUCACACUUCGCGUCGGAACUUUUGCGCACCAAUGGCGCAAUUAGCAUGCACAAAAGCCCUUGUUCGCGACGCUUGCGUUCGCGAGCUAGCUUUAGGAAAACUUGUGCUGACUUUUCGUUCUUUGUAUUCCCUUCAAACUCAUUUGGACCCAAGUUCGCCUUAACCCUCCCCUCCCCCAACCCCCCUUCUUUAGGCGGUGUGUGGCAUUUGUUUGCCACUUUUAAAGGCCCAGCUCUGUUUGCUCUGAUGUUCUUUUAGCCGAGGCUGUGUUGGGGCUGGUGAACUGACUGGGCUUUAGUGACCGAUGAGGUGUUAAAUGCUAAUCCAACAUAUUUCGAAACAAACCAGGAUUUUGUUGAAACAUUUUAAAGCAAACAAACAAACGUCUGGUUGUGCAGAAAAUCAGAAGAAAACCUUUUUUCUUAAAAUAACAUUUUAUUUUCAUUAAAACAAUGUAGAGUGCAGAAACAAACUCUUAGGUCAGUCCAGUGCUUUUACUGUAUUCCGCUCCGGCGGCGUGGGGAGUUACAAGCCAUUGUUCGGGGGAAUCUAUAUCUCUCCCCCCGCCCCACCACCACCAUCGCCUGCUGGGAGGUCGCGCUGGUUAAUGAUUUCUGGGCAAGGAGCUCGGCUUCUGACGGGGGAGCCGGUCUGGCGGGGCUGCCUGAGCGAGGUGUGCUGGGACGCGCCGGGCCGGGCCAGCAGUCCCCGCCAUGGGCGAGGCGUGAGGAAGUCCUCCCGCAAGACCUGCAGGCUGCGGGGGCUCGGCAGGGGGGCUCGACGAUUGGUUACAGUUGGCAGGGAGGCAUGUCAGAGGGGGCCUCCCCAGCCCUCUCCUGCCGCCGCCUCCUCCCUUUGUCCAGCGCCGGGCACUCCGGGGAGCACCAGCCGCGCCUGCGCGCUGCGCUCCCUGCCACCGCCCCGCCGUCCCCGUCUCCCCGCUUGGGCACGGGGCUGUGCGCGACGCAGUGGACGGGUGCGGGGCUCAGCGAGGGACUCCCGGGUCCAUAGAGAUCUGGGGAGGGUGGGGGGAGCAAGGACGAGUGCCUGCCGGGACCCCCCUGGCUCCUCGCUCCCAAGGAGUCGAGGGGAACGUCUCUACCGCGCUGCAAAGCCAGCAGGUAACUUUGGGGAGGUGCGGGCCAGGCCAGCGAGCA